rnacentral:rRNA from 1 species
UACAGAGGUCUCAAGCGUUGUUCGGAUUCAUUGGGCGUAAAGGGUGCGUAGGCGGUGCGGUAAGUCUGUAGUGAAAUCUCUGGGCUCAACUCAGAGUCUGCUAUAGAAACUGCCGUGCUCGAGUAUGGGAGAGGUGAGUGGAAUUCCCGGUGUAGCGGUGAAAUGCGUAGAUAUCGGGAGGAACAUCGGUGGCGAAGGCGGCUCUCUGGACCACAACUGACGCUGAGGCUCGAAAGCUAGGGGAGCAAACAGG